UGGCGGCAAGCCUAACACAUGCAAGUCGAACGGACAAUUAUUUAUAGCCUCUGGCUAUAGGAAAUUGUUAGUGGCAGACGGGUGAGUAAUGCGUAGGAAUCUACCUAGUAGUACGGAAUAGCCAUUAGAAAUGGUGGGUAAUACUGUAUAAUCCCCGAGGGGGAAAGAUUUAUCGCUAUUAGAUGAGCCUACGUUAGAUUAGCUAGUUGGUGAGGUAAUGGCUUACCAAGGCUAUGAUCUAUAGCUGGUCUGAGAGGACGAUCAGCCACACUGGAACUGAGAUACGGUCCAGACUCCUACGGGAGGCAGCAGUGGGGAAUAUUGGACAAUGGGCGAAAGCCUGAUCCAGCUAUGCCGCGUGAGUGAAGAAGGCCUUCGGGUUGUAAAACUCUUUCAAUAGGGAAGAUAAUGACGGUACCUAUAGAAGAAGUCCCGGCAAACUCUGUGCCAGCAGCCGCGGUAAUACG
rnacentral:rRNA from 1 species